AGUGAACGCUGGCGGUAGGCCUAACACAUGCAAGUCGAACGGCAGCACAGUAAGAGCUUGCUCUUACGGGUGGCGAGUGGCGGACGGGUGAGGAAUACAUCGGAAUCUACUUUUUCGUGGGGGAUAACGUAGGGAAACUUACGCUAAUACCGCAUACGACCUACGGGUGGAAGCAGGGGAUCUUCGGACCUUGCGCGAUUGAAUGAGCCGAUGUCGGAUUAGCUAGUUGGCGGGGUAAAGGCCCACCAAGGCGACGAUCCGUAGCUGGUCUGAGAGGAUGAUCAGCCACACUGGAACUUAGACACGGUCCAGACUCCUACGGGAGGCAGCAGUGGGGAAUAUUGGACAAUGGGCGCAAGCCUGAUCCAGCCAUACCGCGUGGGUGAAGAAGGCCUUCGGGUUGUAAAGCCCUUUUGUUGGGAAAGAAAAGCAGCAGGUUAAGACCCCGCUGUUCUGACGGUACCCAAAGAAUAAGCACCGGCUAACUUCGUG
rnacentral:rRNA from 1 species